CUUUUUUAAUUCUUCUUGUUGCUAGGCUGCCUAGAACAUGGAACAUGCUGGUGUGCUUUGUUACUAUUGUCAAGGGCAUAAUCCCAGAAGCAAUUUUUCUAAUCUUACUGGACCUUCUUUGAGGUUUUACAACUACAAGUUUGCUGGGGAGACAAUUUCUCUUGGGACUACUUUCUGUCACGUGAACAAUCGCAGCCCUGAAAAUACCCCAGCACAAGUCUGUGUGAGAGAAGUAGUCUCUUCUGGUAAAUAUCUCCUGGUAGGUCCUUCUUCACUUUUCUUCUUACAGGCUAUUCAGUGUCUUGCAGUGUUUGUUGAUAAAUGUUUAAAGUAUCCAAAGGAACUAACAAAAGACAAGAUACCAGAGGUUAGCCUUGUGUUUAUCAGUCUGCAGCUGUGCUCCAUUUUUAC
rnacentral:lncRNA from 1 species